ensembl:miRNA
GCCUGCCCGGGGCGAGUCAGGGCUCUCCUGUCAGCUGGGCCCCCUCCGAGCCUUGGGAGGCCGCCACUGGAGCCCUGCCUCUUCCUGGCAG